GGGGAUGUAACUCAGCUGGUAGAGCGUUCUCUUAGCACACGAGAGGCACUGGGAUCGAUACCCAGCAUCUCCA
rnacentral:tRNA from 1 species